rnacentral:lncRNA from 1 species
GUGAUGUCACAGAAGCUGAGAAUGUGAGCGAGGGGCUCUGCAGCCUAUGACCUGCACCUCCAACGGCAACGCCCCCCACCCCCUCAUGCUGGGGACGCAGAGGUCCUGCCCCCCGCCAGGGAACACGUUAUUGAGUGUUGAAAUACUUACCACUUAACUUGUGUGCUCCAUACGGCUCCAGCUAUUUACAGAAAGAAUAAUAACUUUUCCAAAUGGAGGAAUGCUUCCCAAGGAGCAGAUGUCAUCAAAGCAUGAGAUCUCCCAGGCACAACAGGAAAGUUCAGAGUCACAUUUGUUUUGCCCAAAAUCAUGAAGCGACAACAAACCAUCUGAAGACAUAUUAAUACUCAUUAAACCAGCACCAAAUGGAAUGUUUUCCCCUCCAGACUGGGAAGUUGAUAUUCCGAAUGUUUCAUAAGAUUGGGGAGGAUUUAACCUAAGAACUCUGUAAAAGCAGUCAACACAAGCUGGGCCACAGAGAUACCUGCCAAUUCCAGAAGACAUCUUCAGAAACACUUUCAGGUCUGUGAUAAACCUUUUGGUAGUUCACAAGUGCCCAUGCAAUGGCAAGAGAACACAGUAUGAAGAAUAAGAAGUAGGCAUCAUGAAACGGCCUGUCUUCAUUUAACUCCAACCCCAAACAACGUAUUUCCUAGAUUUGGAAAAGAAAAAAGAUGUGAGAGUAAGCCAGCUCAGUGACUCCAGUUUAAACCCAUACCCUAUCACUGGAAACAGUACAUGUGCUUCCUCUGCCUUUGUA